rnacentral:tRNA from 1 species
UCCAACGUAGCUCAGUGGUAGAGCAAUCGGCUGUUAACCGAUCGGUCGUAGGUUCGAAUCAUACCGUUGGAG